AUAGCUCGUAUCUCUUGGGGCAGUGAUAAGGGCCAUUAAAAGCUGAGGUCCCUUUGUUUGCUUGGUUUCCCUCAUUAAAAGCUUCCUCUGCUAGGGUGUGAUGGGUUAACUUUUGUUCUAUGAGGGGCUAGGAGGGGAUUGAAGGAUUAUAGGGAAACUUUUGUGAGUUUUAGGUGGAUGAAAUGGUUGCUUUUAGGAACUUUUGCAUGUAUUUAUUAUUAUUUAUUUAAUUAAUUGUUUUUCAACACCACAGUGAGGAGGAGAAUGGUAUCACCCAGUACUUAUCAGAAAGCAGAAAAGUGGUGCACCUGGAACAUAACACAAAGUAAUGAGCCUUUGGGAGUGAUGGGGAUGAGUGGUCCAAGGAAGAGUCUUCAGGCUCAAGGCUCCCUUGUCCAUGGCCCAGAACUUGACACCUUGGACCUCUAUACUGAUACCUCUAUGCUGGUUUCUCUAUGUAAAUAUGUGAAAAUGACCAACAGAGUUUUGACCAUCCACGGCGUUGUGUUGCAAAUAGUGAACAAGCACCUUGCUGUUUAGUUUGAAUAGCACCAUCAUCUCAAUUCUGAAACAGCACAAAAGGUUUCUGUCCUGUAUUUAUAAAUAUGGGGAGUUCUGGAUAACAGUUUAGUGGUUCCAACUGUCAGAGAAGGAAUUAUGCAGUGAUUUGUGGUGGCUCUCUGGUGAUAUAAUGAGAUAAAGCUACAGUAUAUCUCUUGGUCUCUUUCUUGCUCCUGAUUACAAACACUGGGAGUUAGCACACAUCCUAUCAGCUGACAGCUGCACAUUUAAAAUAUAGCAGUGAAGAUUUAUCUUGAAUCUGAUUGGUUCCUUCCAAACCUUUUUUUAAAAUUGUGUUUGUUUAUUUUCAGGUUACAAUAAAAC